CGGGCGGUAGACUCCGUCCAAGGCUAAAUACAGGCGAGAGACCGAUAGCGAACAAGUACCGCGAGGGAAAGAUGAAAAGGACUUUGAAAAGAGAGUCAAAGAGUGCUUGAAAUUGCCGGGAGGGAAGCGGAUGGGGGCCGGGCAUGCGCCCCGGCCGUAUGCGGAACGGCUCUUGCUGGUCCGCCGCUCGGCUCGGGGUGUGG
rnacentral:ncRNA from 1 species